rnacentral:rRNA from 1 species
GACGAACGCUGGCGGCGUGCCUAAAACAUGCAAGUCGAACGGUGUAGCAAUACACAGUGGCGAACGGCGGAGUAAUACAUGAACAACGUGCCCUAAAGACUGGGAUAGUCAUUGGAAACGAUGGGUAAUACCAGAUGUGACGGAUCUUCGGCAUCUUAGAUCCAUUAAACGGUUUUUCGCUUAGGAGCGGUUCAUGGCCUAUCAGGUAGUUGGUGAGGUAAUGGCUCACCAAGCCGACGACGGGUAGCGGGUCUGAGAGGAUGAUCCGCUCGAGUGGGACUGAGACACGGCCCACACACCUACGGGUGGCAGCAGUUGGGAAUCUUGCACAAUGGGGGAAACCCUGAUGCAGCGACGCCGCGUGGAGGAUGAA